GGAGCGAUUUGUCUGGUUUAUUCCGAUAACGAACGAGACUCUGGCCUACUAAAUAGUGACAGGAUUAUUACUGUCCUGGAUACUUCUUAGAGGGACAAGUGGUUUUCAGCCACACGAAAUUGAGCAAUAACAGGUCUGUGAUGCCCUUAGAUGUCCGGGGCUGCAAAAACGCUACACUGAAGGAAUCAGCGUGCUAAAACCAUUGUCGAAAGGCAUUGGUAAACCCAUUAAAAUCCUACGUGAUUGGGAUCGGGAAUUGCAAUUAUUUCCCUUGAACGAGGAAUUCCCAGUAAGUGUGGGUCAUAAGCUCGCGUUGAUUACGUCCCUGCCCUUUGUACACACCGCCCGUCGCUGCCCGGGACUGAGCCGUUUCGAGAAAAGCGGGGACUGCUGCUGUCGGGGCUUUCGGGCCUUGGCUUCGGUGGAAACCGCUUUAAUCGCAGUGGCUUGAACCGGGCAAAAGUCGUAACAAGGUUUCCGUAGGUGAACCUGCGGAAGGAUC
rnacentral:rRNA from 1 species